rnacentral:misc_RNA from 1 species
GGCAAGGAGUUUACCCCGUUGCCAACACACAUUCCACUUGGCCUGUGUGGACAAGUGGCUUGUACAACAUGGAUCAUGCCCCAUAUGCAGGCAGAAUGUGUAGAGGAGCAUUUAGACCAAGCUGUUAUAAAUGUAUAUAUUUUCACUGCAACAUAUAGUGUUUGUGAUUAAACUGCUAGGUGACAUACACACACUAUAUUUACGUAAUUAUAUUGGUGUUGGUAGCAUAUUGUUUUUAAAGCAUUCUUAUCGUAUAAUCACUGAUAGGACAGAUUUAUAGUUCCAUUGUGCACAUUUUAUAAGAUGAUUAGGAUAUUUUUCAGAAUGCCUUGCUUAUUGUCAUCGGAUAUGAUUUGUGUACUGUGUGCAUUCUAUACUUUUCCUGAUGCUCUCUCUUUCUCUCUCCCUCUUACAUAUGGUAAAUCAAACUCUUAUAUAUGGUUAAUCAACCUAGCAAGACAAUAAGAAGCAAGCUCAUGAUCCAUGAAGAAACUGAGAUUUGAGGACAUAGCUCUAGAGAUUUUGAGUGUCAAUAUUCCUUGCAGGUUUGAUUGUAUCCCCUGUACAUUGAAUCAAUUGUAUUAGCAUUAGUAUUUAGUAGCCUCCUUUUUUAUUGCUGCUUGGGGGAAAGAAUGCAUUAUUGAUUUCACUAACAAGCAUUUUCUAGAUAUCCUGGAAAAACUUAGCAUGGAAGGAAACCUUAAACGAGAGGAACUUGCCGCAUAUGUCCAUCCUAAAUAAUAAUGGUUUCACUGCAUCCUAAAAACAACAACACCACAUUAAUCGUUUCACAUUUGAGGAUCAGCAACGUGUAACAGCUCCUUCAGAAAUGGUGCUGUAUUUCUCAUCAUGCUUCCUCAAGCAAUAGGAAAUAAUAGGAAAGAGAUUUCCCCUUCUUUGCCACAGUUCACAGAAGGCAUGAAGCCACUCCUCAUCUUCAUCCUGUUAAGUGUCCAGAGGGCAGUGAGAUUAUCCAUUUCUCACUAAACGUGGCUUAAAUCUUUUUCCCUGCGUAUCCUGCUCAAAUUAGCCAUGAAAGUAAGAACCUGAGCAUGGAAUUCUGAACACAAGCUGCAAAAGGCUCACUCUUGCAGGCGAAAGUUUUUGCAAUAUCUUUGCAUGCCACAAAAUGGUUUUCCAUUGCCACAAAGUGGAUGGCACACAGAUGCAUGGAUGAAUAUGCUAGUUGAAUGUUUAUAAAGAUGCUUAAUAAGGUACUGACUGUAUCAGCUAUCUUUCAUUUAGUUAUUUAACGAGAUGAAGAAAAUAAAAAGAAGAAAAAAAGGUCCUGAUUCUAUUGAUUGUUACAAAGAGCCUCACAUGAGCUCCAACUACAGAAUCCCUAUAAAGGAUAUAUGGUACACAUCAUAUACCCAGCGGCAUUCUUGCCACAGACUUGUUUCCUUAUUAGUUCAUCUGUAACCCGGGAGAAAUCAACCAAGAUGUGAUGGUACAUCUGGCCGCAACAUGAAGGUAGAAAUAAGCUGCUUAUCUACUUUUUGAAUAACCUGCAAAAAUGAAGAUCAGCAGCCCAGAUUAAUAUCAAAACAAAAGCAGCACAUAAGCAAAUUCAUUGAAGAAAUUCAAGAUGUCCAGACUUUGGGAUAUUCACAAAAUUCAAUUGAAAAACUCUGACCAAGUAAAAACAUGGCAUGCAAAAUGAAGAAUACAGAUGUCACACAUUUAAUAAAAUGAGAUUCUCUGGUGAUAAAUCAUGCUGGUACAGCUACUGGCCUUUUGCUGGUUUUGAUUCCUCUUAUAG